AUACGACCAUACCCACUGGAGAGCUCGGGAUCCCGUCCGCUCUCCCAUAGAUAAGCCAGUGAGGGCCGGAUUAGUAGUUGGGUCGGUGACGACCAGCGAAUACCUGGUGUUGUAUG
rnacentral:rRNA from 1 species